UGCCCAUUAAGGAGUCUGAGAUUAUUGACUUUUUCCUGGGUGCAUCUCUAAAGGAUGAAGUUCUGAAAAUCAUGCCAGUGCAGAAGCAGACUCGGGCUGGCCAGCGGACCAGGUUCAAGGCCUUUGUCGCUAUUGGGGACUACAAUGGCCACCUUUGAUGCCAUCUCCAAGACCUACAGCUACCUGACCCCUGACCUCUGGAAAGAGACUGUGUUCACCAAGUCUCCUUAUCAGGAAUUCACUGACCAUCUUGUGAAAACCCACACCAGAGUCUCUGUUCAGAGGACCCAGGCUCCAGCUGUGGCUACCACAUAAGGGUUUUUAUACAAGAAAAAUAAAUGAAUUAAGUCUGUU
rnacentral:lncRNA from 1 species